CCUUAAGGAACCCAGCCUAAUAACGCCACGUCCUGUGGCAACGCCUGCAUGACACCCAUCCCCGGGGG
rnacentral:sRNA from 1 species